UACGUAGGGUGCGAGCGUUGUCCGGAAUUACUGGGCGUAAAGAGCUCGUAGGUGGUUUGUCGCGUCUGCUGUGAAAAUCCGGGGCUCAACCCCGGACUUGCAGUGGGUACGGGCAGACUAGAGUGUGGUAGGGGAGACUGGAAUUCCUGGUGUAGCGGUGAAAUGCGCAGAUAUCAGGAGGAACACCGAUGGCGAAGGCAGGUCUCUGGGCCACUACUGACGCUGAGAAGCGAAAGCAUGGGGAGCGAACAGG
rnacentral:rRNA from 1 species